rnacentral:rRNA from 1 species
GGGAUAACCGCUGAAAGCAUCUAAGCGGGAAGCCCCCCUCAAGAUGAGAUCUCACAAAUCACUAGAUUUCUGUAGGGCUCUCGAAGACUACGAGAAUGAUAGGCGGGAUGUGUAAGCGCUGCGAGGCGUUGAGCUAACCCGUACUAAUUGCCCGUGAGGCUUGACCAU